rnacentral:rRNA from 1 species
AGUGAACGCUGGCGGUAGGCCUAACACAUGCAAGUCGAACGGCAGCACAGUAAGAGCUUGCUCUUACGGGUGGCGAGUGGCGGACGGGUGAGGAAUACAUCGGAAUCUACUUUUUCGUGGGGGAUAACGUAGGGAAACUUACGCUAAUACCGCAUACGACCUACGGGUGAAAGCAGGGGAUCUUCGGACCUUGCGCGAUUGAAUGAGCCGAUGUCGGAUUAGCUAGUUGGCGGGGUAAAGGCCACCAAGGCGACGAUCCGUAGCUGGUCUGAGAGGAUGAUCAGCCACACUGGAACUGAGACACGGUCCAGACUCCUACGGGAGGCAGCAGUGGGGAAUAUUGGACAAUGGGCGCAAGCCUGAUCCAGCCAUACCGCGUGAGUGAAGAAGGCCUUCGGGUUGUAAAGCCCUUUUGUUGGGAAAGAAAAGCAGCAGGUUAAUACCCCGCUGUUCUGACGGUACCCAAAGAAUAAGCACCGGCUAACUUCGUG